rnacentral:rRNA from 1 species
UAGGGAAUCUUCCACAAUGGACGAAAGUUUGAUGGAGCAACGCCGCGUGAGUGAAGAAGGUUUUCGGAUCGUAAAGCUCUGUUGUUGGUGAAGAAGGAUAGAGGCAGUAACUGGUCUUUAUUUGACGGUAAUCAACCAGAAAGUCACGGCUAACUACGUGCCAA